rnacentral:pre_miRNA from 1 species
UCUUAUGGAUGAACAAAGAACGUGGUUUCUUGAAAUGGAAUCUACUCCUGGUGAAGACGCUGUGAA